CCCGGGCCGGACCGGACCGGCNCGACGGAGUAACACGUAUGCAACCUGGCCGUGACAGAUGGAUAACCGGGAGAAAUCCCGCCUAAUACAGCAUGACGCCGGGAAGGGACAUCCCUUUCCGGCCAAAGGGGGCGACUCCGGUCACGGAUGGGCAUGCGGCGCAUUAGGUAGUUGGUGGGGCAACGGCCCACCAAGCCGACGAUGCGUAGGGGUUCUGAGAGGAAGGUCCCCCACAUUGGAACUGAGACACGGUCCAAACUCCUACGGAAGGCAGCAG
rnacentral:rRNA from 1 species